rnacentral:rRNA from 1 species
UACGUAGGGACCAAGCGUUGUUCGGAUUUACUGGGCGUAAAGGGCGCGUAGGCGGCAACUCAAGUCAGCUGUGAAAUCUCCGGGCUUAACUCGGAACGGUCAGCUGAUACUGUUUUGCUAGAGUGCAGAAGGGGCAAUCGGAAUUCUUGGUGUAGCGGUGAAAUGCGUAGAUAUCAAGAGGAACACCUGAGGUGAAGACGGGUUGCUGGGCUGACACUGACGCUGAUGCGCGAAAGCCAGGGGAGCAAACAGG